GUGAAUCAUCAAAUUUUUGAACGCAAAUUGCACUUUCUGGGAUUCCGGAAAGUAUGCCUGUUUGAGGGUCUGUUAAAUAGAAAUCGGUGUUGUUGCUGCCCUUCGUGGUUACGCGUCGGGAUUGGGUCGUCUUAUUUUCGUUUAAGUGACUUAAAAUUUUUGCAUUGUUUUCGUACGCAUUUAAAUCACUUACGUACUUUCGAGAUA
rnacentral:misc_RNA from 1 species